rnacentral:miRNA from 1 species
AGAAUGACAUGGCAGAAUAAUCAC